GUCUUUUUGAAUAUAAUUUAAAGUUUAAUCUGCCCACUGAUAAAUAUUAAAGGGCUGCAGUAUAUUGACUGUACAAAGGUAGCAUAAUCAUUAGUUUUUUAAUUGAAAACUUGUAUGAAGGAUUUGAUGAAAUAUAAACUGUCUCUUAAUUAUUAUUAAAAAUUUAUUUUUUAGUUAAAAAGCUAAAAUAAUCUUAAAAGACGAGAAGACCCUAUAGAGUUUUAUAUUUUAUAUAGUAUUAAAAUUAUAUAAAAAUUAAAAUUAAUAUUAAAUAAAAUAUUGUAUUGGGGUGAUAGAAAAAUUAAAAUAACUUUUUUUAAAAAUUAACCAUAAAUAAAUGAAUAAAUGAUCCAUUAAUAAUGAUUAAAAGAAAAAAUUACCUUAGGGAUAACAGCGUAAUAUUUUUUUUUAGUUCAAAUAAAAAAAAAAGUUUGCGACCUCGAUGUUGGAUUAAGAUAAAAUUUAAAUGCAAAUGUUUAAAAUUUUGAUCUGUUCGAUCAUUAAAAUCUU
rnacentral:rRNA from 1 species